rnacentral:rRNA from 1 species
GAUGAACGCUAGCUACAGGCUUAACACAUGCAAGUCGAGGGGCAGCAUGGACAUAGCUUGCUAUGUUUGAUGGCGACCGGCGCACGGGUGCGUAACACGUAUCCAAUCUGCCCGUUACUCGGGGAUAGCCUUCUGAAAGGAAGAUUAAUACCCGAUGGCAUGUAUUUCCGGCAUCGGAGAUACAUUAAAGAUUUAUCGGUAACGGAUGAGGAUGCGUACGAUUAGCUUGUUGGCGGGGUAACGGCCCACAAGGGCGACGAUCGUUAGGGGUUCUGAGAGGAAGGUCCCCCACACUGGAACUGAGACACGGUCCAGACUCCUACGGGAGGCAGCAGUGAGGAAUAUUGGUCAAUGGUCGGAAGACUGAACCAGCCAAGUAGCGUGAAGGAUGACUGCCCUACGGGUUGUAAACUUCUUUUGUUUGGGAAUAAAAGACGCUACGUGUAGCGUUCUGCAUGUACCUUACGAAUAAGCAUCGGCUAAUUCCGUGCCAGCAGCCGCCGUAAGAC